UACAGAGGUCCCGAGCGUUGUUCGGAUUCACUGGGCGUAAAGGGUGCGUAGGUGGCAGGGUAAGUCGGAUGUGAAAGCUCGGAGCUCAACUCCGAAAUGGCAUUGGAAACUACCCAGCUCGAGGGUUGGAGGGGGGACUGGAAUGCUUGGUGUAGCAGUGAAAUGCGUAGAUAUCAAGCGGAACACCGGUGGCGAAGGCGGCAUCCUGGACCGGCAUUGACGCUGAGGCGCGAAAGCCAGGGGAGCAAACGGG
rnacentral:rRNA from 1 species